AGGACGAACGCUGGCGGCAUGCCUAAUACAUGCAAGUCGAGCGAAUGAUGAAGAAGCUUGCUUCUUCUGAUUUAGCGGCGGACGGGUGAGUAACACGUGGGCAACCUACCUUAUAGCUUGGGAUAACUUCGGGAAACCGGAGCUAAUACCGAAUAAUUCAUUUCCUUUCAUGAGGGAAUGCUGAAAGAUGGUUUCGGCUAUCACUAUAGGAUGGGCCCGCGGCGCAUUAGCUAGUUGGUGAGGUAACGGCUCACCAAGGCAACGAUGCGUAGCCGACCUGAGAGGGUGAUCGGCCACACUGGGACUGAGACACGGCCCAGACUCCUACGGGAGGCAGCAGUAGGGAAUCUUCCACAAUGGACGAAAGUCUGAUGGAGCAAUGCCCGCGUGAGUGAAGAAGGUUUUCGGAUCGUAAAACUCUGUUGUAAGGGAAGAACAAGUACAGUAGUAACUGGCUGUACCUUGACGGUACCUUAUUAGAAAGCCACGGCUAACUACGUGCCAGCCGCCGC
rnacentral:rRNA from 1 species